rnacentral:lncRNA from 1 species
GGGAGAUUACCACCCAAAGUUGUGCUGAUACUAAAAUGAAAGAGCUGUGUGGUUUCCACUUUGGACAGAUCUUAUAUUUCUGUCCCAGAGGACCCUGGAGGGUGGGUGCAGGGGCUUUCUUCCUAACCUCAGUCUGAGCCUGGGAUCUUGCUCCUCCUGCCUAAACUGCCUCAUGGAACAGAAUGUCAGCGAACAGAAAGCCCUGGGGCUUCUAGACUUGAGCUGGAAAUUAGA